AGGAAUCUCUUCAGCUCAUCUACAAUUAUAAAAAAGGAGGAAUUAAGGCAAUUCAGAGUCUUAGUUUUUACCAAAUAGACAUGCAGAUAAAUAUAGAAUGAAAAUGUAGAACAUUUGGUGGAUAAAGAACUACUACAAUCCAAAUUGGAGAGAACUAGUUAUUAGAAACUUUUUCUUCACCAAACAAAUUUAAAUGGGUAUUAGAAACUUAAUCUUCACCAAACAAGUUUAAAUGGGUAUUACCCAAAAGCACGCCAAUUAAGCUCAAAAUUAAAGCAAAAACAGAUAAACAAGGAAACAAAGAACAGAACGAACUAAAAAACUAAGCUAAAUUUAUGCAAAAGAACUCACAAAUUAAGCCAACAAACUCCAAUUCCUUUCUGGGUUUUUCAAUUCAUCAAAAACCCAUUACAAGCCCCAUGAAAACUGUCUAGAUCGCUUUUGUUUUUACACAGAGAGAGAAAAGGGGGAGCAGUUGGUUGAAUUAAAGGUGAUCAGGCAUGAACAAGUUCUUCAUGUUGUGGACAAUGCGUGAGAGGAGCCGUUUUGUCGUUACUGUUUUGGUGUCCUUCACCUUUCAGAAGAAUAUGGAAUUUUUAAGAAAGAGAGCCCCUACUCUCUCUCUCUCUCUCACU
rnacentral:lncRNA from 1 species